CGCGCCCCCUGGGUCACGUGGCCCGUCCGUGACGGGGGAAGAGCGCGCGAGCGGGCGGCUCCGCGGCUGCUGCCGCCGUGGGAACCAUGCUGCGGAGCGGCGCCUUACGGCUGUGUGCGCCCGGGGUCCUGCGCGGCCCGCGGAGAAGCGCGGCCCCGCCGACGAGGGAGUCGCGGCCGCCGCCGAGGUCAUUUGCGUCAGAGGUCAUUCGUGUGGACCUUUCUCUCCCGAACCCCAGCUGGAGCAAGGACAUGAGACUUCUUUUUGACCAGUUCAUGAAGAAAACUGAGGAUGGCUCUUGGAAACGUUUGCCUUCAUAUAAAUAUGUAUCUCCUCAAAGGACUGAAGUCAAAACCUUUUUUCCUGAUGGGAAGCCUGUAAAAGAAGAUCACAUGCCACAGGCCCAGCUCUUUCCCAGAAGCCUCGAGGAAGGUCUGGGGUUUGAAUAUGCUAUGUUCCAUAAUCAUGUUGAAAAUAGAACAGUUUGCAUAUUUCAAGGAGGUCCUUACCUGCAAGGAGCAUCUGGAUUCCUUCACGGAGGUGCCAUUGCAACCAUGAUGGAUUCUACUCUUGGUGUGUGUGCACUUACAGCUGGGGGAGUUGCCAUGACUGCCAAUCUCAACAUCAAUUUUAGGAGGCCUAUCCCCCUUUGUUCUGUUGUUGUGAUUAAUAGCCAGCUUGAUAAAGUUGAAGGAAGGAAAUUGUUUGUUUCCUGUAAUGUCCAAAGUGUGGAUGGAAAGACCCUACACUCCAAGGCAACAAGCCUGUUUGUAAAACUGAAUCCUAAAGAAGUUUGAUGUAAAAGAGCUUCUGGUGCGUUCUACACCAAUCUGCGUCGGGCUCUCCUUCCUUCCAGAAGAACCUGUUGUCUCCGGUCCUGCUCUGCUUACCUGCUUUUGAGUCCCCCAGAGAGUGAAGCCUGCUAACACUGUUCUUCGGAAUACAACUCCAGGAGCUCUGUUUCCACCUUCUAAACUCUUGAACACAGAAGGACUCCGUGUGACGGAUAAAUGUGACAAAGGAAAGGAACUGGAAACAAGAAUGAAGAAUGAUAUCCACUUCACCCAUAUCUAAAAUAUGAAAAAAAAAAAGUUUCCAUAAAGUCAUCCAAGUCCUCUGUCCAUUUGUGACAUGCCCCACAAACAUCCCCAAGUUUCUGAAGAGCCUACUUUAGAGUCGAAAACCAUCUGAACUGUAGCACUGCUACCCGUCCUUCUCUCACUUUGUACUUCAUCCCUUCUUGCCCAAACUGCCCAAAACACAGGCCUCACACUGGGACAAGCCCCCCUGGCUGCCCCUCCCCCAUCACAACUGACCUUGGUGUUUAUUUCUGUUCAAAACUCGAGGCAGAAACUUCCAGACAGUUGCUAAGAUACAGUCACGGACAUCAGUUGUUUUUGGUCUGCCCACUAUCCCUGCCUCCUGGUCUACUGGCAACAGAACUGUGCUGGCUUGGGAGACAGCCCUUUCAGGUUUCAUUUGAUUCCAGCGUGUAUGGGGGUGCUGCCAAUCACAGCCCUGGCAGGGGGGCACACGCUUGACCAGCCUUAGCGGGUCCUAGGUCUUCUUCCCCUUGACUGCAGACAUGGGUCCAAGAAGGGGGCCCAUAACCUAAGUAAUUUGUCUUGCCUUGGGAUUUUAUAUGUGGAUGACAAGUAAGGGAAGUGGACAGAUUCAGAUCUGUUUUGGAAAUACAACUUAGGAGCUUUGAUUGCCCUCAAUGAAUUUGAGUUUCCUCCUCUAUAAGAUGAGGGAUUUAGACCAAAGGACUAAAGGUUUUGGAGUCACAUCCAGAUUCACACAAUCUGAGGUUGUGUAGGAGUUCAGCUGUGAAGAAGUCUGUCUGAUCCGGCCGUGCCCUUUCAGGGAGAGGGUACCUGCAAAACUGUAUCCAGAGAAAUGUCACUUCUUAUCAAAACCUAGUUUCAGGGGGCACCUGGGUGGCUCAGCCAGUUAAGCAUCUGCCUCCCGCUCAGGUCAUGAACCCAGGGGCCUGGAUUGAGCCCGCAUCAGGCUCCCUGCUCCGUGGGGAGCCUGCUUCUCCCUG